CCAGGCGGUUGGACGGUCGCUGCUCUGCUUUGCAGAGGAGAGGAAAGUCCGGGCUCCACGGGAGAACGGUGCCGGUUAACUGCCGGCGAGGGCGACCUUAGGGAAAGUGCCACAGAAAACAAACCGCCUUCCGGGUUUUUUCAUGGGAAACCAUGGGACAAACUGAAGGUAAGGGUGAAACGGUGCGGUAAGAGCGCACCGCUCAGCUGGUAACAGCCGAGGCAUGGUAAACCCCACCGGGAGCAAAACCGAAUAGGGACAGCAGAAACCCCGCAAGGGCGUUUCAGAGGUUCUUCCGCCUCGCUGUCCGGGUUGGUUGCUUGAGGUAUGCUGCAAGGCAUAUCCUAGAAGAAUGACCGUCCAGGCUCCUUACGGAGCCGGACAGAACCCGGCUUACAGACCGCCUGGAUUA
rnacentral:RNase_P_RNA from 2 species